AAUAUAACAGAGACAAAUGUUGCCGAAAACUGAAAUAAUGGGACAAAAAGCACUAGACGAAAAGAGAAACUUAAACAACCAACUACGGUAUAAACUACAGCAAAUCGGAUAUGCCAACGCAUUAUAUAUACUCAUCAUAUCGAAAGAUCUAUAAGAAGAGGACAAAACAAAAUUACAAACUCCACUAUAGCGGGACGUACGGAAGAAUCACAAGCGUAACAAUAAUGAAAGCAAGAAACUACUUGAUCUUAAGUAUACUCCUGUCGAUAGAAAGAAUUGCUGCACAAGUAAAAUUAGUAGUAUAUACAGAAUACGGACCAACCACACUGAGAAAUAAGGAAUGAUUGGAAAUAGUGACGACAACACAACUGAAAAACACAUAUGGGAACUGACAAGCUUCAUAAAGGGAAGCACGAAUUUGAGCGC
rnacentral:misc_RNA from 1 species